GACGUAGGAUGCAAGCGUUGUCCGGAAUUAUUGGGCGUAAAGAGUUCGUAGGCGGUUGCCUAAGUCUGGUGUUAAAGACCGAAGCUCAACUUCGGCAUGGCAUUGGAAACUGGGUGGCUAGAGUACGGUAGAGGUAUCGGGAAUUCCAGGUGUAGCGGUGAAAUGCGUAGAUAUCUGGAGGAACACCGGUGGCGAAAGCGCGAUACUGGGCCGUAACUGACGCUGAGGAACGAAAGCCAGGGGAGCGAAAGGG
rnacentral:rRNA from 1 species